CCUCAGCAUAGAGCCGCCUCCCGCUCCCAUGGCGCUCCCAUGGCGCUCCCAUGGCGCUCCCAGGCGCUCCCAUGGCGCUCCCAUGCCGCUCCCAUGGCACUCCCAUGGAGCUCUUGAGCCUGGAGCCGAGCCGGGCCUGCUCUGAUUCAGUCCCGGGUCCUCCUCGCGACCUGAGCAGGACCAGCCGGGCUCUUGUGUGUUCUUGUGCCCCUCCAGCCCCCCCAAGACCCUCUGUGACAACAAGACGGACGUUUUGGACCAGCAGAGAAUGAGACCAGCCUGCGGAUGCGUGUCCCCGCCUUGUGGAGGUCAGAGUCCAAACACUCACGGAGACGCACGGCCACCCUUUUGCCACGCAGAUCCACAAAGGCGGCAGGCUUUUGGGACCUUCAAUGCCGGAGGCUCCGCAUACCAAAGGACAUAAAGGAAGCACCCACGGAGCAGUCCACACAAGAACAUGGCGGACCCUCCUGCCGACCGUAGCGAUGCACAGCAGAGAACGUCAGCGUGCAAUUCCACACCACCGUGGCAAGCUCCCGUCUACCCGGCGACAAUGUAGGGGGCGCGGGGGGGGAUUUUAUGCCAUCAAGAGGGGAAAGCGAGGGUUAGCAGGCAGGUCGAGAUCCCACGGUGACACCAGCGUUCAACCAAAAGAGCGGAGGACUGAGAUUUGAUCCCACAGAAGCCAAUUUCCCGGCACCAAAGUUCUUCUUCUCAGAGCACGGCUCAAGCACUUCAAAGUUGAGAGCGCCAUGCGUUUGGCAGCUCGUCUUGUCGGCCUUCAAAAAGCUAAAGCUAGCCGCAGACGCUCCGAGGGGCUGAUUCGGGCUUCAGAGAGAAAGAGAAUUUGGCUGCGGCUUACAGGCCGCCCGGCCCCAUCCAGAGGUGGGCUGCGUUUCAUCUUCUCCUAGCCUUAGCGACCGGGUUUGGUGCCGGGGCGCCUCACAGGUGGGAGUCGGCCUCAGUCAAAGACCGGCGCUCGCUAAGGACGGGAUUUGCCGCCGUUAUUUUUCUAUUAGGGCAGAAUUAUGCUAAGCCUUCAGAGGCCAUCUUUGUGUUGCCAUGGCAGCCCAUAUUUCCUGCCAGGUUGUGACCUUGAAUGACUACAGUGCAGAGCCAAGUCGCCCCCGGACCCUUUGAGGAUUAGAACCGGGGUCUCUUAGUUAUGCAAAACACCUCCGAUAUGAUUGAGCCUUGAAUGCUUGAAUGACAAACUUUACUCUCUUUUCAUGCGAUUAUUGUCACUUGAUUAUUUCCAAUCACUUGGCACGGCUUCAAGCGCCGCUUUUGUUAAAGGACCACGCCGAGCUUUUCUUCUCCGCCGCCUCCUCAAAGCUGGCACGGCCGGCGAUUAGCCGGAUCAACCGCGCGCUGCUAGGAUUCUGCGUCUCAAAACAGACGGAAGGUGAAAUGGACCUUUCUGCUCGUUAGCUCAAUAGCCUGCCGUUGCCGGGGCAACCUGACAUAAGCUACUUUAGCCGUCUGACUGACCGGGACACCCCCGGGGCACUUUUAUCUUCACGUUGUCUUCGAGGCGACGUCCGUUUGCUGUUUGUCGUUGUUGUACAAAACUUUAUUCAACGGCAGAGCUUGCGCAAAACACGCCUCACGUCACUUUACCCUCACGUCAUUUCCGUUGGCGUGACCGCUGCUUGCUAGGCCCAAACCCAAGUACGUAACCAACGGCAACCAUGGAGUAUUGUUCACGUCACAUGCAAACCGCCGCCUGACGCGCACACCGGUCGCUCACCCUAUUGGCUGCUCGGGGCCGCACCUUGUUGACGUCACCUUUCCUCAGCCUGCUUAUUUCAGCUGUAGUCAGCGCCAUCGUUCAGGCUCGUCGUUUCAUCCGUGACUCUUGCCUACUUUUGGGUUUGGGGCCCGGUAUGGCCCCCUGGGGUACACCACAACAUAUAUUCUCCAUAUCGCUUCCUGCAUCGCUGUUCAUCUCUUUCCAAGUUCGAACCCCUCUCCACACAAGCCACUGAACAAGUUGCUGGUUCCCAUCCCAGAAUGGGCCCAAAUGAUGAUGUUGUCUUUUUUCCACAUUUUGUCCCAAUCCAUCCAGCCAGUUUUGGGAUCAGCCGUCAAAGUGUGAACCCGAGAGAUGCGCACGGGGCGCCCACUCAAGGCUGCCGACGGAGACGAGGCUUUCAAGGUACCAGAUUGACGCUAUUGUGAUCACAACGCACAACAGGAGGCGACUUUGAAGGCAGAAAAAUGCUCCCGUGUCAGAUUUCACCCGAGAAACGUACGGCCUGAGACGUUCAAAGACGUUCAAAGACACGUAGGAAUGGACGUUCAACACCAUAGCAACCCGAGUCGGGCGGGAAGAAAUAUCUACGGGACUUCACCUAUCAAUACUGACUGGAGAAGAGCAGCGAUGCACCAACACUUUUUUACAACUUGUAUGAAAAGUGGGAAGUGUAGAAGAAGAAAUCAAUAUGCAAUAUGAUCAAUAAAUACUGGAUGUUACAUUUACACGACAGAAACGAUUGUUUUGUGUAUCUACUACUGUUACCUUUAAGCUUGUAUUUAACAAUAUACUGCUUUU